AGACCGCAAAUGAAUACUGAGCUCUAACAGAACACCAACUGUUCUAAUCCUCAGUAUCUGCUGACAGGGAUGAAUGUCACCACAUCCAAUUUGACAUUCAAUAAAUCCUGUAUUAGCUAAUCAUGCAGUAAGUUACUCAGGUAUCUCAUGACAUUAGUCAAGACAUCAGAGUACAGUUAGAUACUCUAACCUCCAAUGCAGUCACACAUACACACCAUGUCAUGACAUCAGUCAAGACAUUAGAAUCCAGCUAGUGUUUUACCAUCUAAUGCAGCCAAUUAAAC
rnacentral:lncRNA from 1 species